CCUACGGGUGGCAGCAGUGAGGAAUAUUGGUCAAUGGUCGCGAGACUGAACCAGCCAAGCCGCGUGCGGGAUGAAGGUACUGUGUAUUGUAAACCUCUUUUGUCCGGGAACAAAGGCGGGGACGCGUCCCCGGAUGAGUGUACCUGACGAAAAAGCAUCGGCUAACUCCGUGCCAGCAGCCGCGGUAAUACGGAGGAUGCGAGCGUUAUCCGGAUUUAUUGGGUUUAAAGGGUGCGCAGGCGGUUCGUUAAGUUAGCGGUGAAAUCCCGGGGCUCAACCCCGGCCCCGCCGUUGAAACUGGCAGGCUCGAGUUGGAGAGAGGUAUGCGGAAUGCGCGGUGUAGCGGUGAAAUGCAUAGAGAU
rnacentral:rRNA from 1 species